rnacentral:rRNA from 1 species
UGGGGAAUAUUGGACAAUGGGCGCAAGCCUGAUCCAGCAAUACCGCGUGUGUGAAGAAGGCCUUAGGGUUGUAAAGCACUUUCAAUAGGGAGGAAAAAGCACAAGCGAAUACCUUGUGCCUUGACAUUACCUAUACAAGAAGCACCGGCUAACUCCGUGCCAGCAGCCGCGGUAAUACGGAGGGUGCAAGCGUUAAUCGGAAUUACUGGGCGUAAAGCGUGCGUAGGCGGUUCGUUAAGUCAGAUGUGAAAGCCCCGGGCUCAACCUGGGAACGGCAUUUGAAACUGGUGGACUAGAGUUUGGUAGAGGGGAGUGGAAUUUCAGGUGUAGCGGUGAAAUGCGUAGAUAUCUGAAGGAACACCAGUGGCGAAGGCGACUCCCUGGACCAGAACUGACGCUGAGGUACGAAAGCGUGGGUAGCAAACAGG